AUAUUUUCUUAUACCUAGCUUCUUUUCGUACGCAGCUAUUUGUUGUCUCUCAUAUUACGUCAGACACACUGGUAUCUGAAACGGAGUACUGCAGUUGCAUGUAGCAGGUGCAUAUAUGCAUGGUAAAUUUCAAAGACUAAUGUGACAACUGAUUGAUCAACGGACCUGGAGGCCUCAGAUCAGAAAGCUCGGUUCUGUGUGUUCCUUCCUUGGAGUAUUGGGCAAUAUAUUCACUUGUGCACGCAUUCUCUGCUUUAAGUCGUUGUGGUUGGACAGCUUGUAUUUCGUGAAGUUAUCGAUUUGGGCGGAAAGCAUUAUAUCCUUGAUUUGGCUGAAUGUUUGUUCAUACAGUGCGUGCAUGCUACCAGCAACUGCCAAUUGCAUCUUCUGCAGACUGCAUAUCUGGUGAUGUUUCACUGGUUCAAAGUUUCAGCCCCAAUAUAGCAG